CUUAACACAUGCAAGUCGAGCGCCCCGCAAGGGGAGCGGCAGACGGGUGAGUAACGCGUGGGAAUCUACCUUUUGCUACGGAAUAACUCAGGGAAACUUGUGCUAAUACCGUAUGUGCCCUUCGGGGGAAAGAUUUAUCGGCAAAGGAUGAGCCCGCGUUGGAUUAGCUAGUUGGUGAGGUAAAGGCUCACCAAGGCGACGAUCCAUAGCUGGUCUGAGAGGAUGAUCAGCCACACUGGGACUGAGACACGGCCCAGACUCCUACGGGAGGCAGCAGUGGGGAAUAUUGGACAAUGGGCGCAAGCCUGAUCCAGCCAUGCCGCGUGAGUGAUGAAGGUCUUAGGAUUGUAAAGCUCUUUCACCGGUGAAGAUAAUGACGGUAACCGGAGAAGAAGCCCCGGCUAACUUCGUGCCAGCAGCCGCGGUAAUACGAAGGGGGCUAGCGUUGUUCGGAUUUACUGGGCGUAAAGCGCACGUAGGCGGACUUUUAAGUCAGGGGUGAAAUCCCGGGGCUCAACCCCGGAACUGCCUUUGAUACUGGAAGUCUUGAGUAU
rnacentral:rRNA from 1 species